UACGGAGGGGGCUAGCGUUGUUCGGAAUUACUGGGCGUAAAGCGCGCGUAGGCGGCUUUGUAAGUUAGAGGUGAAAGCCCGGGGCUCAACCCCGGAACUGCCUUUAAGACUGCAUCGCUUGAAUCCAGGAGAGGUGAGUGGAAUUCCGAGUGUAGAGGUGAAAUUCGUAGAUAUCGGGAGGAACACCAGUGGCGAAGGCGACUACCUGGCCUGUUUCUUGACGCUGAGGCGCGAAAGCUAGGGGAGCAAACGGG
rnacentral:rRNA from 1 species